AAACGUACCUGACAUGGGGGCACCGUGAUCAUGAAGGUGGUUUCCCAGGGUGAGGGUCUUCCAUCGUACCCCAGGUACGCUGACCCCAGAGAUUUCCCCAAAUGCAGGAAACAAGCUCUGUAAUUUGUGGUGUGGAGGACUAUGUUCAUGCUUUUCCC